rnacentral:rRNA from 1 species
CCUACGGGUGGCAGCAGUGGGGAAUAUUGGGCAAUGGGCGCAAGCCUGACCCAGCAACGCCGCGUGAAGGAAGAAGGCUUUCGGGUUGUAAACUUCUUUUGACAGGGAAGAGUAGAAGGCGGUACCUGUCGAAUAAGCCACGGCCAACUACGUUCCAGCCGCCGCGGUAAUACGUAGGGGGCAAGCGUUGUCCGGAUUUAAUGGGUGUAACGGGCGUGUUGCCGGGUUGAGAAGUUAGAUGGGAAAACCUGCGGCGUAACCGCAGAACUGCAUUUGAAACUGUUGAUCUUGAGUACUGGAGAGGCAGACGGAAUUCCUAGUGUAGCGGUGAAAUGCGUAGAUAUUAGGAGGAACACCAGUGGCGAAGGCGGUCUGCUGGACAGCAACUGACGGUGAGGCGCGAAAGCGUGGGGAGCAAACAGGAUUAGAUACCCGGGUAGUC